rnacentral:rRNA from 1 species
AGUGAACGCUGGCGGCGUGCUUAACACAUGCAAGUCGAACGAGAACGGAUUAUAGCUUGCUAUAAUUGUCAGCUGAGUGGCGCACGGGUGAGUAAUGUAUAGGUUAUAUGCCUCUUACUAAUGGAUAACAAAUGGAAAUGCUUGCUAAUACCUGAUACUCCUUAUUAACAUAUGUUAAUAAGAGAAAGAUUUAUUGGUAAGAGAUUAGCCUGUAUUGUAUCAGUUAGUUGGUGGGGUAAUGGCUUACCAAGACUAUGACACAUAACUGGUUUGAGAGGAUGAUCAGUCACACUGGAACUGAGACACGGUCCAGACUCCUACGGGAGGCAGCAGUGGGGAAUAUUGCACAAUGGACGAAAGUCUGAUGCAGCAACGCCGCGUGGAGGAUGACACAUUUCGGUGCGUAAACUCCUUUUAUAUGAGAAGCUAAUGACGGUAUUAUAUGAAGAAGCACCGGCUAACUCCGUGCCAGCCGCCGCGGUAA